AUUAAAAUAUCUUAAAAAUUAAAACUAAUCGAAUUAUCUCGUAGUAUUUUUAUGGUUAUAUUAAUACAUAUUAAGUAAGUUAAUAUCAACUGGAAGAUAAACUUGUCCUGGUUGUGUUCGUGGUAGUCUCUAACAUUACCUACACUGCUGUGAGACACCGUCACUCCAGACAGAAGAGGCCGACCAGCACAACACCACCACACAUCUUCAUCAUGUUCGCUCUCAGGACCGCCGUCACCCAAGUAGCUCGGGCCAACACAACGAUGGUGAUGGCCAAGAGGACCAGUGUUAUCUCUGGACCUCCCACAGUCAAAGUUAGCUUCGCGGAGAAAAUGGUUCACGGUGGAGUCAUCAUGGUUGGGUGUUGCGCUGUUCCAGCUUGGGUGCUUGCCCACAUUAAGGAAUACCGUGGUCGUGAGGAAUAGAUCAUAACAUGUAAAUAAGUAUUUAAUUCAAGUCAAUUUGUGGUGUAAAAUAUGGUUACUUAAAACUUUUUUUUAUCUCAAACAAAAUUGAAGAGAUGUUUCUUUCAAUAAUCAAUUGUGUACUGUACCUUUGAAUCAUGUUUAAAUUCCAUAGCACUUAUUUUGUACAUAAUUAAUAAAUUAAAUAUUUGU